GAGUUUGAUCCUGGCUCAGAUUGAACGCUGGCGGCAUGCUUUACACAUGCAAGUCGAACGGCAGCACAAGGAGCUUGCUCCUGGGUGGCGAGUGGCGAACGGGUGAGUAAUGUAUCGGAACGUGCCUGGUAGUGGGGGAUAACCACUCGAAAGAGUGGCUAAUACCGCAUGAGAUCUCUGGAUGAAAGCGGGGGACCUUUUGGCCUCGCGCUACUGGAGCGGCCGAUAUCAGAUUAGGUAGUUGGUGGGGUAAAGGCCUACCAAGCCUGCGAUCUGUAGCUGGUCUGAGAGGACGACCAGCCACACUGGGACUGAGACACGGCCCAGACUCCUACGGGAGGCAGCAGUGGGGAAUUUUGGACAAUGGGCGCAAGCCUGAUCCAGCAAUGCCGCGUGCAGGACGAAGGCCCUCGGGUUGUAAACUGCUUUUGUACAGAACGAAAACUCUCUGGUUAAUACCUGGGG
rnacentral:rRNA from 1 species